rnacentral:rRNA from 1 species
UACGGGGGGGGGCAAGCGUUGUUCGGAAUUACUGGGCGUAAAGGGCUCGUAGGCGGCCAACUAAGUCAGACGUGAAAUCCCUCGGCUUAACCGGGGAACUGCGUCUGAUACUGGAUGGCUUGAGUUUGGGAGAGGGAUGCGGAAUUCCAGGUGUAGCGGUGAAAUUCGUAGAUAUUAGGAAGAACACCAGUGGCGAAGGCGGCUCACUGGCCCGGUACUGACGCUCAUGUGCGAAAGCGUGGGGAGCAAACAGG